ensembl:miRNA MIR150 microRNA mir-150
UCUCUUCUCAUGGCCCUGUCUCCCAACCCUUGUACCAGUGUGUGUCUUGGUCCCUGGUACAGGUACGGGGAGGCAGGGACCUGGGGAUCCCAGCAGC